rnacentral:rRNA from 1 species
GACGAACGCUGGCGGCGUGCUUGACACAUGCAAGUCGAACGAUGAAGCCGGAGCUUGCUCCGGUGGAUUAGUGGCAACGGGUGAGUAACACGUGAGCAAUCUGCCCUUGACUCUGGGAUAACUGCGGGAAACUGUAGCUAAUACCGGAUACGACACCUUGGGGCAUCCCAGGGUGUGGAAAGAAUUUCGGUCAAGGAUGAGCUCGCGGCCUAUCAGCUAGUUGGUGAGGUAAUGGCUCACCAAGGCGACGACGGGUAGCCGGCCUGAGAGGGUGACCGGCCACACUGGAACUGAGACACGGUCCAGACUCCUACGGGAGGCAGCAGUGGGGAAUACUGCACAAUGGGCGAAAGCCUGAUGCAGCAACGCCGCGUGAGGGAUGAAGGCCUUCGGGUUGUAAACCUCUUUUAGCAGGGAAGAAGCGAAAGUGACGGUACCUGCAGAAGAAGCACCGGCUAACUACGUGCCAGCAGCAGCCGCCG